GGGAUAGCCCAGGGAAACCUGGAUUAAUACCGGAUGAGACGGGACCCGCGAUGGCGGGACCCGGGAAAGGCGCUGCGGCGCCGCCGGGGGAUGAGUCUGCGUCCCAUUAGCUAGACGGCGGGGUAACGGCCCACCGUGGCGACGAUGGGUAGCCCGGCCUGAGAGGGUGGACGGCCACAUUGGAACUGAGACACGGUCCAGACUCCUACGGGAGGCAGCAGCUAAGAAUCUUCCGCAAUGGGCGAAAGCCUGACGGAGCGACGCCGUCCGUGAACGAAGAAGGCCGUGAGGUUGUAAAGUUCUUUUCGGGAGGGGGAACAACCGUGGCAGGGAAUGGCCGCGGGAUGACGUGAAUCCCGGAAUAAGCCCCGGCUAACUACGUGCCAGCAGCAGC
rnacentral:rRNA from 1 species